UACGGGGGGGGGCAAGCGUUUGUUCGGAAUUACUGGGCGUAAAGGGCGUGUAGGCGGCCAACUAAGUCCGACGUGAAAUCCCCAGGCUUAACCUGGGAACUGCGUCGGAUACUGGAUGGCUUGAAUCCGGGAGAGGGAUGCAGAAUUCCAGGUGUAGCGGUGAAAUGCGUAGAUAUCUGGAGGAAUACCGGUGGCGAAGGCGGCAUCCUGGACCGGCAUUGACGCUGAAGCGCGAAAGCUGAGGGGAGCAAACGGG
rnacentral:rRNA from 1 species